UGAACAAACUCAGCUCAAGCAAACAAUAGAACCAACAGUAAAUCAUUUAUUAACAACGCUAACCAGGCUGAACAAACAAUAGAACCAACAGUGAAUCAUUUAUUAUCAACGUUAACCAGGCUGAACAAACAAUAGAACAAACAAUUGAAUAAUUUAUUAACAACGUUAACCAGGCUGAACAAACAAUAGAACCAACAGUGAUCUUAUUAGCAUAUGAGGUACACUCUAGACAUUCCGAUCUUAUUAGCAUAUGAGGUACGCUCUAGACAUUCCGAUCUUAUUAGCAUAUGAGGUACGCUCUAGACAUUCCGAUCUUAUUAGCAUAUGAGGUACGCUCUAGACAUUCCGAUCUUAUUAGCAUAUGAGGUACGCUCUAGACAUUCCGAUCUUAUUAGCAUAUGAGGUACGCUCUAGACAUUCCGAUCUUAUUAGCAUAUGAGGUACGCUCUAGACAUUCCGAUCUUAUUAGCAUAUGAGGUACGCUCUAGACAUUCCGAUCUUAUUAGCAUAUAAGGUACGCUCUAGACAUUCCGAUCUUAUUAGCAUAUGAGGUACGCUCUAGACAUGUAGACACCUUAUUCUCAAUAAUGACUUUCUAUAGGUAUAUUCACGGUAUUUUGUGACAUAGCGCAGCAUUAUGCCAAAUAACAACAAAGAGUUUGAACUGUUGGGUCCACGGUAUUUCUUCUGUUGCAACCUUCUGGCGGUAAAGUUUUGAAGUUAUUCAUGAGCGGACUUAUGUGGAGCUUCAGAAAAGACGUCGGGAAUGAAGAUGAAGGUAGGCUACACUUUUGGGACGAUGAAGAGGAAGGUAGGCUACACUUUUGGGACGAUGAAGAGGAAGGUAGGCUACACUUUUGGGACGAGGAAGAGGAAGGGGGACGAUGAAGAAACACAUGAGACAGCAGAGUAGCGACAUAGUUGCAGCAGAGCUUAGGAUACGGUUACUAUGGAAACAUUUACAGAAGAAACAUUUAGAACUACUAUGAUUAAGUCGUUACUAAUCAGAACAUGCUGCGUGACAUGUAAACGGGAAUAUGAACGGAAUAUAUUCUAUUAACAUAGUGACAGCAUAGCUUAGAGUACUGUGUUCAUCCACAGCGUUGAUUAAAAUGCUCUGCAAAGAGA